rnacentral:rRNA from 1 species
UACGUAGGGACCGAGCGUUGUCCGGAAUCAUUGGGCGUAAAGAGCGUGUAGGCGGCCAAUUAAGUCCUGCGUGAAAUCUCGGGGCUCAACCCCGAGCGGUCGUGGGAAACUGGUUGGCUAGAGUGCGGGAGAGGAGAGUGGAAUUCCCGGUGUAGCGGUGAAAUGCGCAGAUAUCGGGAAGAACACCCGUGGCUAAGGCGGCUCUCUAGUACGGUACUGACGCUGAGACGCGAAAGCGUGGGGAGCGAACAGG